CACGCCCAGUACCAACAGUUUACUAUACAGGUAACACAGCCACGCCCAGUACCAACAGUUUACUAUACAGGUAACACAGCCACGCCCAGUACCAACAGUUUACUAUACAGGUAACACAGCCACGCCCAGUACCAACAGUUUACUAUACAGGUAACACAGCCACACCCAGUACCAACAGUUUACUAUACAGGUAACACAGCCACGCCCAGUAC